UGCCAACACGACAAGAUUCGAAAAUCACAUUGAUUGGUCAUGGAACUGCAGAAAUACAGGGGAACCAGUUACUUUCAAAGAGACAAGUUCUAGAGUUUCUUUUCUUAUACGAGACACGCCACGCCAAAAUUGACUAUUCAAGAAGGUGCGAAGUGCGUUAUUCGUCUGGGUAGAAGGAUGCGCAAAUCCACCCAAUUUGGGAGUUUCAAAUGUUCAGAGCUCAACCUGGAAUUACAGUAUGUAGAUUUGAGCGACAUUAUUUUCAAAUGCUAUCGGACACCAUACUGGCCUCUACCUGAAGAUAAGAAUUUUCCACCUGUCGAUCCAUUACCUGGAAUAUUCAUUGCAACAACCAUGUUAUAACCACACAUCAUCAGACCGUCACUAGUCUGACAGUGCGCCGCAGCGCGAAGAUACCAAUGAGACACUGAGUCAUGGUGUCAUUCGGGAUGUUUCGAUAUGGAUAUGGACACGGAUGGUG